GACAGAGGGUGCAAACGUUGUUCGGAAUUACUGGGCGUAAAGCGUGUGUAGGCGGUCCACUAAGUCGGGUGUGAAAGCCCUGGGCUCAACCCAGGAAGUGCACUCGAAACUGGCGGGCUAGAGUAUCGGAGAGGUUGGUGGAAUUCUCGGUGUAGAGGUGAAAUUCGUAGAUAUCGAGAGGAACACCGGUGGCGAAGGCGGCCAACUGGACGAAUACUGACGCUGAGACACGAAAGCGUGGGGAGCAAAC
rnacentral:rRNA from 1 species